rnacentral:rRNA from 1 species
UACGUAGGGGGCAAGCGUUGUCCGGAUUUAUUGGGCGUAAAGAGCGUGUAGGCGGCCUGACAGGUCAGCUGUGAAAACUCGAGGCUCAACCUCGAGACGUCGGUUGAAACCAUCUGGCUAGAGUCCGGAAGAGGAGUGUGGAAUUCCGGGUGUAGUGGUGAAAUGCGUAGAGAUCCGGAGGAACACCAGUGGCGAAGGCGACACGCUGGGCCGUACCUGACACUGAUGCGCGACAGCAUGGGGAGCAAACAGG